AAUGACUUGAGAUCCAAAGUGAGGAGAGUGGUAGGAUUUUUUAGAUCCAGCUGCACAGCAAAAGAGAAACUAGACAACUUGCAGAAAGACCUGAAAAUGCCCCAACUGCGCCUUCUCCAGGAAGUGGAAACUAGGUGGAAUUCCACCUAUUUAAUGCUAGAGAGGUUUUUUAACCUCCGGGAACCCCUCUCUGCAGCAAUGAGCAACAUGGACCUACCCAUGUUUUUCCCCCAGGACUGGACUGCAAUGGCUGAUGCAAUUGAGGUCCUGAGACCAUUCCUGGAGGUGACAGAGGAAAUGUCUGCUGAAAGCCACGUCACAUCCUCUAAGUUAAUUGUCUUGGUGCGCAACUUGCAGAAGCUGACUAAAAGUAUGGCAAACACUUAUGCUCCAGAGUCUGUUGGUCAGAGGCUAGCAAGUUCUUUAAACAAGCACCUGACCAAAAGGUGUGGCGACUAUGAAUCAACUAGGUUUGUAUAGAUUAGUUAUAUACUGAGAUAUAUACUGAAAUUAAUCAAUUUAUAACUAAAGUUGUUUAAUUUGCCAAAUGUCCAACUUUAGAUUUCUUGCCGUGUCAAUGUUGCUGGAUCCUCGAUUUAAAAAAGUAGCAUUCGGCUUGGAUACAAAUGCAGACAACGCUGUUCGAGCGUUGACAUCCGAGGCCAGCCAGCUUAAUGCAGAAUGUCAACCAGAGGCAACGACUUCUGUUUCACUGCACAUACAGCAAACUGGGGCUAGUUGUGUGUGGUCUGAUUUUGAUUUGAAGGUUAGAUUUUGUCAUCAGAUUCUUGGAAAAACUGUUAAUUAGGGGUGUGUAAUGAGAUCUUGUGGUAUUAAAAUGUGGCAAGAUUUCUCUUCAAGUGAAAAGCUUUCCCGCGACAUCACCAUGACGGAACUUUUUUGCCAUGUAAAUAGCCAUGAUGCUAACAUGGCGUAAACGAUAUUAAAAUGUGGCAAGUUUUCUCUUCAAGUGAAAAGCUGUCCCGCGACAUCACCAUGACAAAGCAUGAAAUUAGCAUAGAAUAUGCCACUGCUACGUUUACAUUACAUUAUGGUGUCCACUGCAGCACUGCCUCUUUUUUCUUCUUUUAUUAAGACUUUUUUUUAUAGAAUUGAAAACCUAAUUCAGUUUGAUAUCGGUCGCUUCAAUUGUAAACUGUUUUAAACGUCUGCUCUGCUCAUCCAGCACGAGCUGCUGAUAUCAAAGCUAUCUUAGGCUGGGCUGUGUGGGUAUAACACCUCUUAGCUCUGGUCUCUGUUUGCACUUUGAAUAUUGAGAGAGUUCUUUGAUUAUGGUUGCAUUUAUUGUUUGCAUUUAAUAAGACUAAGAAAAAAACUGAAUAAAACUGAAUUUUUAUUUCUAUGUUCA
ensembl:lncRNA